GAGGCCGAAAGGCGUAGUCGAUGGGAAAAUGGUUAAUAUUCCAUUACUUCUGUGUAAUGCGAUGAGAGGACGGAGAAGGUUAAGUCAGCCUGGCGUUGGUUGUCCAGGUGGAAGGAUGUAGGUAUGUAUCUUAGGCAAAUCCGGGGUACUCUAUGCUGAGAUCUGAUAGCAAGCUGUACUUGUACAGCGAAGUGGUUGAUGCCAUGC
rnacentral:rRNA from 1 species